UCCUCCGCUUAUUGAUAUGCAAGUGACCCCGGUCUAACCACCGGGAUGUUCAUAACCCUUUGUUGUCCGACUCUGUUGCCUCCGGGGCGACCCUGCCUUCGGGCGGGGGCUCCGGGUGGACACUUCAAACUCUUGCGUAACUUUGCAGUCUGAGUAAACUUAAUUAAUAAAUUAAAACUUUUAACAACGGAUCUCUUGGUUCUGGCAUCGAUGAAGAACGCAGCGAAAUGCGAUAAGUAAUGUGAAUUGCAGAAUUCAGUGAAUCAUCGAAUCUUUGAACGCACAUUGCGCCCCCUGGUAUUCCGGGGGGCAUGCCUGUUCGAGCGUCAUUUCACCACUCAAGCCUCGCUUGGUAUUGGGCAACGCGGUCCGCCGCGUGCCUCAAAUCGACCGGCUGGGUCUUCUGUCCCCUAAGCGUUGUGGAAACUAUUCGCUAAAGGGUGCUCGGGAGGCUACGCCGUAAAACAAACCCAUUUCUAAGGUUGACCUCGGAUCAGGUAGGGAUACCCGCAGGUUCACCUACGGA
rnacentral:rRNA from 1 species